CCGACCAGCCGGUAGGUCAGCAGCAUGAACACGAUGACCAGCACCGAACCGACAUAAGACGCGAGUUCGCCGGCGGCGAUCGAGUCCUGUCCGAGUCCCGGUCCGACGGUGCGCUCUUCGNNNNNNNNNNNNCGGUGCCCCCGCGCGCAGCAGGAUCGCCAGAUCGUUGGCGCCCUGCACCGUGAAGCUGCCGGAAAUCUGGCCGGAGCCGCCGGUGAUCGGUUCACGAAUGACGGGAGCCGAGAUCACUUCGUUGUCGAGCACGAUCGCGAACGGCUGGGC
rnacentral:misc_RNA from 1 species